GGGGGAUUGGCGCAAUGGUAGCGCGUGGCUCUCCUAUACCUAAUAUCCCUUGAAACCUGUAAAAGGUGCUGGAAAAAAGCCAAGGUUGUGGGUUCGAGUCCCAUGUUCCUCG
rfam:Fonsecaea multimorphosa CBS 102226 unplaced genomic scaffold supercont1.5, whole genome shotgun sequence.